AAAGUCGUAACAAGGUUUCCGUAGGUGAACCUGCGGAAGGAUCAUUAACGAGUUAGGGUCUUUCAGGCCCGACCUCCCAACCCUAUGUUUAUUGAACCUCUGUUGCUUCGGCGGACCCGUCUCACGGCCGCCGGAGGACCGCUGCGAGGCGUCCUCUGGCCAGCGUCCGCCGAUGGCCAACCCACUAAACUCUGAAUGAAUCGUGUCAUAUGUCUAAGUCUAUGAUUAAAUUAAAGCAAAACUUUCAACAACGGAUCUCUUGGUUCUG
rnacentral:misc_RNA from 1 species